UGGCUUAGAUGGUAAAGCGCCUGCUUACAAUGCAGGAGACCCGGGUUCAAUCCCUGG
rnacentral:tRNA from 1 species